rnacentral:pre_miRNA from 1 species
UGUGUAGCACUAAAGUGCUUAUAGUGCAGGUAGUGUGCAGUGAUCUACUGCAUUAUGAGCACUUGAAGUACUGCUAG